CGUGGCGUAUACGCGCAAAACUAAAUAAACGCCGCCUUAUUCGACCGCAUGCAAAGAAAAAUAUAUAUAAAAUAAAUAAAUUUAAAAGCAAUGCAGAUACGGUGUUGAGUUAGAAGCGCAUGCGCCCCCGAGCCCAUAUAAGCGGACAACGCGAGCCGCAGCAUGCGCAUUCAGAUCAGCCACCGCAAAGCGCCCGCACGGAGAGCUGGAACGAUGGGAUCCGUGGUCCGCCUGCUACUUACAGCUGUCACCAUGUCGAUGGUAUUGAGAGCUGCUGCUUUUCCAGGCCUGUGCAUUCCGGUGGACUACUGCGACGGCAACUGCGUUGCCGGCUACGACACUGCGGGAUGCGAAGUUUGCGUCUGUCCACCUUGUCUGCCUUGCCCAACGGACUGCUACGAUGCGGCGCCGGGUUGCCCCGUGUGCGCGCCGAUACAAGACUGCUUUCAGUGGCCCCUGUCCGUAUUCUUCUGAAAGCUCCAUCUUCUAUACAUAACGCCGUAAUGCAGACUAUAUUCUUUGUAAUGACCGCCCCUUCUACAGGCGAUCGUUGGCGUUUUAGCAUGUGACAUACGUAUAUAAAGUUAGCGACUGAGCCUGGUUAUACCUGACUUACGCACUCGCCUUGCGCAGUUACCGGGAAUAAAAACUUUACUCCACCGUU